rnacentral:tRNA from 1 species
UAGCUCAGUGGUAGAGCACUUGCCUAACAUGCAAAAGGCUCUUGGCUCAAUUCCCAG